rnacentral:rRNA from 1 species
UAGUCAUAUGCUUGUCUCAAAGAUUAAGCCAUGCAUGUCUAAGUAUAAACAACUUUGUACUGUGAAACUGCGAAUGGCUCAUUAAAUCAGUUAUAGUUUAUUUGAUGGUGCUUACUACAUGGAUAACCGUGGUAAUUCUAGAGCUAAUACAUGCGUAAAAGACCCGACUUCUGGAAGGGUUGUAUUUAUUAGAUAAAAAACCAAUCAGCUUCGGCUGUCUGAGGUGACUCAUAAUAACUUUGCGAAUCGCAUGGCGAAUGCCGGCGAUGAAUCAUUC